rfam:Oryza nivara chromosome 5, whole genome shotgun sequence.
AAAAAGCAAAUCCUAGAUUUCUAUAUCAACAUUUGACUGUACAUUUUAUAUAAAAAAAUUUAUAAUUAGUAUUUUCAUUGUUGUUAGAUGAUAAAACAUGAUUAAUAUUUUAUGCGUGACUUAUCUUUUUAAAUUUUUUCAUAAUUUUUUCAAAUAAGAUGGACGGUCAAACGUUGGACACGGAAACUAGGGUUUGUCUUUUU